rnacentral:rRNA from 1 species
UACGUAGGGUGCGAGCGUUGUCCGGAAUUAUUGGGCGUAAAGAGCUUGUAGGCGGUUUGUCGCGUCUGCUGUGAAAAUCCGGGGCUCAACCCCGGACUUGCAGUGGGUACGGGCAGACUAGAGUGUGGUAGGGGAGACUGGAAUUCCUGGUGUAGCGGUGAAAUGCGCAGAUAUCAGGAGGAACACCGAUGGCGAAGGCAGGUCUCUGGGCCACUACUGACGCUGAGAAGCGAAAGCAUGGGGAGCAAACAGG